rnacentral:lncRNA from 1 species
UAUAGCUCGAAAGACAAAUGGUUCCAGAAGAUCAAUGAGAAGUCAAGAUAUGAACGAUCCAUCAAUUCACAGUAGGUACGAAAUGAAUGAUUUAGUGGAUAAAUACAAUAAUCCUAAAUGAUCCAAGAGUCGGGAAAAGAACGAUUUAUGUUCAUUGAACCACUGUAGAAACAAAUCAAAUGAUUUACUGAAUCAUAAUAGAAGAAGUG